rnacentral:miRNA from 14 species
UAUAUGUAUGUGUACAUGUGCAUAUGUGUAUAUGUAUGCAUGUAUAUAUGUGUUUAUGGA